CAAAGGUUUGGUCCUGACUUUACUAUCAACUCUAGCUAAAUUUACACAUGCAAGUAUCCGCAUCCCCGUGAGAAUGCCCCACAGUCCCCCGCCCGGGAACAAGGAGCUGGUAUCAGGCACACCCAUUCAAGCCCAAAACACCUUGCUCAGCCACACCCUCAAGGGAAUUCAGCAGUGAUAAACAUUAAGCCAUAAGUGAAAACUUGACUUAGUUAAAGCUAAGAGGGCCGGUAAAACUCGUGCCAGCCACCGCGGUUAUACGAGAGGCCCAAGUUGUUAGUCACCGGCGUAAAGCGUGGUUAAAAUAGACAUAACACUAAAGCCGAAAACUUUCAAGGCUGUUAUACGCACCCGAAAGUAAAAAGACCAAUAACGAAAGUAGCUUUAUUUAUUUGAACCCACGAAAGCUAUGGCACAAACUGGGAUUAGAUACCCCACUAUGCCUAGUCGUAAACAUUGACAAUAAGAUACAACUAUUGUCCGCCUGGGUACUACGAGCACUAGCUUAAAACCCAAAGGACUUGGCGGUGCUUUAGAUCCACCUAGAGGAGCCUGUUCUAGAACCGAUAACCCCCGUUUAACCUCACCCUUUCUUGUUUUUCCCGCCUAUAUACCACCGUCGUCAGCUUACCCUGUGAAGGCCUCAUAGUUAGCAAAAUUGGCACAGCCCAAAACGUCAGGUCGAGGUGUAGCGUAUGAAAGGGGAAGAAAUGGGCUACAUUCACUCCCCCAGUGAAUACGAACGACAUAUUGAAAUACAUGUCCAAAGGAGGAUUUAGCAGUAAGCAGAAAAUAGAGUGUCCUGCUGAAACUGGCCCUGAAGCGCGCACACACCGCCCGUCACUCUCCCCAAGCCCCCUUAACCAAAGUAAUUAAAAAAAUAUAACUGCAAAGGGGAGGCAAGUCGUAACAUGGUAAGUGUACCGGAAGGUGUACUUGGAAAAAU
rnacentral:ncRNA from 1 species